AACGAACGCUGGCGGCGUGCCUAACACAUGCAAGUCGAGCGGGAAAGUUCCCUUCGGGGAGCGAGUACAGCGGCGAACGGGUGAGUAACACGUAGGUAACCUACCCUGGAGACCGGGAUAACCUGCCGAAAGGUGGGCUAAUACCGGAUAAGACCACGAGGGCUGCGGCCCUUGGGGAAAAAGAUGGCCUCUGCUUGCAAGCUAUCACUCUGGGAUGGGCCUGCGCGCCAUUAGCAGUUGGUGAGGUAACGGCUCACCAAGGCUGAGAUGGCUAGCUGGUCUGAGAGGACGACCAGCCACACUGGGACUGAGACACGGCCCAGACUCCUACGGGAGGCAGCAGUGGGGAAUAUUGGACAAUGGGCGAAAGCCUGAUCCAGCGAUGCCGCGUGUGUGAAGAAGGCCUGCGGG
rnacentral:rRNA from 1 species